CCAUGAGUCAGAAAUUCAAGCCACCGGGCGCUUUCCAGCUAACAGGGACCAAAGGGGACCGUUCUACGGUGUCCCGGAGAUCUGGGGGUGAGGGGAGGCCCGGCCGUCCCGUCCACUGCCGCCACCAACGCCGCCGCCAUCUUACACUGGCCAGCGGCCGCCGCCACCGCCGCCUCCGCUCUCUGCGCCUGCGCCUGCGCCGCCACGCUUUCCGGCCCCGUUUGCGACGAUCUGCCGUGGAGAAGCCGGAGGGAAGAGUGGUCGCGCGAGCUCUCGGCUUCCCAACCUCCUCGAAGGACGCGUGAGGGGCGGGGCUUAAGGCCAACGGAAAACACGACGGGGGCGCGUGCGCAUUGCCAAGGAGGCAAAGUUGAUUUUUUUUUUUUUU